rnacentral:rRNA from 1 species
AUUGAACGCUGGCGGCAGGCCUAACACAUGCAAGUCGAGCGGAGCGGCGGACGGGUGAGUAAUGCCUAUGAAUCUGCCUGGUCGUGGGGGAUAACGUCCGGAAACGGGCGCUAAUACCGCAUACUCUCAGAUGAGCCUGGGUCGGAUUAGCUAGUUGGUGGGGUAACGGCUAACCAAGGCGACGAUCCGUAACUGGUCUGAGAGGAUGAUCAGUCACACUGGAACUGAGACACGGUCCAGACUCCUACGGGAGGCAGCAGUGGGGAAUAUUGGACAAUGGGCGAAAGCCUGAUCCAGCCAUGCCGCGUGUAUGAAGAAGGUCUUCGGAUUGUAAAGUACUUUAAGUUGGGAGGCGUUACCCGCAGAAUAAGCACCGGCUAACUUCGUGCCAGCAGCCGCGGUAAUUC